UACAGGGGGGGCAAGCGUUGUUCGGAAUUACUGGGCGUAAAGGGCUCGUAGGCGGCCGGCUAAGUCGGACGUGAAAUCCCUCGGCUUAACCGAGGAACUGCGUCCGAUACUGAAAGGCUUGAAUCCGGGAGAGGGAUGUGGAAUUCCAGGUGUAGCGGUGAAAUGCGUAGAUAUCUGGAGGAACACCGGUGGCGAAGGCGGCAUCCUGGACCGGCAUUGACGCUGAGGCGCGAAAGCUAGGGGAGCAAACGGG
rnacentral:rRNA from 1 species